GGGAUCUGUAGGGAAAAACUGAGAUCUGAUAACAUAUCCCCUGAUUUCCUUCUUCAGUGAAAUUUCGCAUUGUGACUCUGGAUGAGGAAUUCCAUGCACUCAACGAUUCGAUUUCCCUGUUUCUCCUGGACCCUAAGAACAACCAGAUAGAGCAGUGGCAGAAGGUGGUCCCUCAGGAUGGCAUUGCAGACCUGUCUUUCCAGCUGAGUGAGGAGCCCCAGCUGGGAACGUACCUCAUCAAUG
rnacentral:lncRNA from 1 species